UACGUAGGGUGCAAGCGUUGUCCGGAAUUAUUGGGCGUAAAGAGCUCGUAGGCGGUUUGUCGCGUCGAAUGUGAAAACCCGGGGCUCAACCCCGGGCCUGCAUUCGAUACGGGCAGACUAGAGUUCGGUAGGGGAGUCUGGAAUUCCUGGUGUAGCGGUGAAAUGCGCAGAUAUCAGGAGGAACACCGGUGGCGAAGGCGGGACUCUGGGCCGAUACUGACGCUGAGGAGCGAAAGCUAGGGGAGCGAACAGG
rnacentral:rRNA from 1 species